UUAAAUACCACUCCUGUACGUGGUUUCACACUUUCUCAUUUUAGUGCUCUAUGGUUUAAAGUGUAUCGAUCACUUUAGUGUUCUAGGGCUUUAUUUUUAUCUUUUUAUUAUUAAUUUUACUAUUUGUUUUUGUUAAAUUAGUGACAAAGUUAAAACUAAAAGGUACUAAAGUGAAUAUUCGAUAAAUCUAAGUAGGGUAUUUGAAGUUUUUUGAAUAUAAUUUAACGAAAUAUUAAUAAAAAAGCUGACGAAAAGAUAAAAAUAAAACCACAGAAUACUAACUUGAUACACUUUAAAUCAUAAGGUAUUAAAAUGAGAAAGUGCGAAACCACAGAAAUGAUAUUUGAAGUUUAUCCUAAAUUAAAACUCAAUCUAAAUGAUAAAAAAGAACUUAUACAUUAAAAUCG
rnacentral:lncRNA from 1 species